rnacentral:rRNA from 1 species
GACGAACGCUGGCGGCGUGCUUAACACAUGCAAGUCGAACGGAAAGGCCCUGCUUUUGUGGGGUGCUCGAGUGGCGAACGGGUGAGUAACACGUGAGUAACCCGCCCUUGACUUUGGGAUAAAUUCAGGAAACUGGGGCUCAUACCGGAUAGGAGCUCCUGAUGCAUGGUGGGGGAUGGAAAGUUUCGGCGGUUUGGGAUGGACUCGCGGCUUAUCAGCUUGUUGGUGGGGUAGUGGCUUACCAAGGCUUUGAAGGGUAGCCGGCCUGGGAGGGUGACCGGCCACAUUGGGCCUGCGGUAGGGCCCAGACUCCUACGGGCGGCAGCGGUGGGAAAUCUUGCGCAAUGGGCCGAAGCCUGUUGCAGCAACGCCGCGUGCGGGAUGCCGUCCUUCGGGUUGUAAACCGCUUUCGCCUGUGACGAGGCGUUAGUGACGGUAAUGGGUAAAGAAGCACCGGCUAACUACGUG